GAAUGUUGGAUGACCCACUAGCUCUCGAUAUGAUAUGAUAUAAUAUGAUACGAAAGUCGAAGUCGAGGCCCAUUCUACGUCCCUAGCAAUAUGUAAGAGAAAGUCCAGGUUGAGACCCAUUCUACGCCCCUGGCAUUAUGGAUAUGUUAUGUUAUGUUUAAGCGAAAGUCCUGAGGAGCUCCGUCGAGGGCCGGGCACAUUGGAUUAUAUAGAGGGUUACUGGUGAUAAGUCCAUCUUGAUGUGAAUUGUUUA
rnacentral:lncRNA from 1 species